GACGAACGCUGGCGGCGUGCUUAACACAUGCAAGUCGAACGGAAAGGCCCUGCUUUUGUGGGGUGCUCGAGUGGCGAACGGGUGAGUAACACGUGAGUAACCUGCCCUUGACUUUGGGAUAACUUCAGGAAACUGGGGCUAAUACCGGAUAGGAGCUCCUGCUGCAUGGUGGGGGUUGGAAAGUUUCGGCGGUUGGGGAUGGACUCGCGGCUUAUCAGCUUGUUGGUGGGGUAGUGGCUUACCAAGGCUUUGACGGGUAGCCGGCCUGAGAGGGUGACCGGCCACAUUGGGACUGAGAUAAGGCCCAGACUCCUACGGGAGGCAGCAGUGGGGAAUAUUGCACAAUGGGCGGAAGCCUGAUGCAGCAACGCCGCGUGCGGGAUGACGGCCUUCGGGUUGUAAACCGCUUUCGCAUGUGACGAAGCGUGAGUGACGGUAAUGGGUAAAGAAGCACCGGCUAACUACGUG
rnacentral:rRNA from 1 species